rnacentral:misc_RNA from 1 species
AUUAUUUUAAGAUUCGAGAACUGAACUGAAAUCGUACCGAACCGAAUCAUAAUCGAAGAACCUAGAACUUUACCGAUCGGAAUCGAAACAAUGAAGAACUGAACCGAAAUCGUACUGAAAUUUCCAUUCUAUUCCGGUUCUUAGGCAAACUCCAAAUCGAACCGGAACCAAACACCCUUAGGUCUGUCCAUUCUCCAACUUACAA